rnacentral:rRNA from 1 species
UUAAAUUGAAGAGUUUGAUCAUGGCUCAGAUUGAACGCUGGCGGCAGGCCUAACACAUGCAAGUCGAACGGUAACAGGAAGCAGCUUGCUGCUUUGCUGACGAGUGGCGGACGGGUGAGUAAUGUCUGGGAAACUGCCCGAUGGAGGGGGAUAACUACUG